rnacentral:rRNA from 1 species
GACGAACGCUGGCGGCGUGCUUAACACAUGCAAGUCGAACGGAAAGGCCCUGCUUUUGUGGGGUGCUCGAGUGGCGAACGGGUGAGUAACACGUGAGUAACCUGCCCUUGACUUUGGGAUAACUUCAGGAAACUGGGGCUAAUACCGGAUAGGAGCUCCUGCUGCAUGGUGGGGGUUGGAAAGUUUCGGCAGUUGGGGAUGGACUCGCGGCUUAUCAGCUUGUUGGUGGGGUAGUGGCUUACCAAGGCUUUGACGGGUAGCCGGCCUGAGGGGGUGACCGGCCACAUUGGGACUGAGAUACGGCCCAGACUCCUACGGGAGGCAGCAGUGGGGAAUAUUGCACAAUGGGCGGAAGCCUGAUGCAGCAACGCCGCGUGCGGGAUGACGGCCUUCGGGUUGUAAACCGCUUUCGCCUGUGACGAAGCGUGAGUGACGGUAAUGGGUAAAGAAGCACCGGCUAACUACGUG